UACGUAGGGGGCAAGCGUUGUCCGGAUUUAUUGGGCGUAAAGAGCGUGUAGGCGGCCAGGUAGGUCCGUUGUGAAAACUGGAGGCUUAACCUCCAGCGGUCGAUGGAAACCAUCUGGCUAGAGUCCGGAAGAGGAGAGUGGAAUUCCUGGUGUAGCGGUGAAAUGCGCAGAUAUCAGGAAGAACACCUAUGGCGAAGGCAGCACUCUGGGACGGUACUGACGCUGAGACGCGAAAGCGUGGGGAGCGAACAGG
rnacentral:rRNA from 1 species